UUUUUGAACUUUCCUUUUUAAUGAAAUCAUAUUUUAUAUACAUAUAUUUUCGUUUUUAGAUUUGCUUUUUAAACUUUAUAAAUAUUUGCUUUUUAUUAUAUAUGUUAUUUGGAAAGAUUUAAAAAGGAAACUAAAUAAAAAAAUCAAUAAUAGUAUUUAAAUGUAAUAUUUUUAACUCAUUAAAGGUAUCAGUGUAAUCAACCAUCGUGAAAGUUAACGUGAGCGCGACACAUAAGAAACUGACUUCUCAAAUAAUAUUAUAGAGAUAUGCAUGGAAAAUAAAUUUUGGUUAUUAAGUCGGGGAAAAUAGCUAAAGAAACAAUAAGUUUUGUUAGUAAAACUACGCAAACUUAUUAAAAUAACAUUGUCAAAAUUAUUCUAUUAACAUGAUUCGACCAAUUACGAGUUAUGUUAAUUUCCGUUCUAAUUUUUUUUAUAUAAAAAAAACAGAUUCUAAACCCUAAAAGUAGGGGUUUUGCCUUUAAAACUUAUUAUUGGAGUUCUGAGCUCAUCUUCGGUAGAUACAGUGCUGCGCGAAGAUCUACAGAGGCUUGAAGCAGCUAUAAAUUGGGGUCUUCAGCAAAUUUUUAUAAAAGAAUGUAAUGUAUAUUUGAAACAUCAUACAAAAACACACGAUAAUCUCAAAAACUAACAUAAUUUCUUUUCCUUCUUUUAAAUAAACUUUUUUCACCAAAUUUUUAUAAUCUACAUUCCUAACUAAUUUUCCUUCUGUAGAUAUAAUUUCUAAUCUAUUCAACUUUUUUUGUAAUAUGAUUGACGCAUAUAAGAUUUUUAUCAACUUUAACUUGGAAAAGCUAGCCUGUUGAUAUAUAAUCUUUGAAUUUUGGAUAAACUCUUCCAUCCUUUAAAGUUUAAAUCUUCAACAGUCUCCCAAAGGGUAGAGGUGCCAAGUUCAAAUCUCAGCAGCUGCGGGGAGAGGAUUAAACAACCGGUUCUUGUCCCUGGCCCAAGGAAAUUAUGGGAUUAGGUCCGGAACUUCUUGAAUUCAAAAAAGAAAAAUGUUGUGGUAAAGCAUCUCUUCGAACUGCUAGUUCGAACUUAUAAGAUUUCCAUGCUGAUUUCGUCGGGAAUGCUUCUCCAAUCUCCAUAGUUUCUGCAAAUUGUUUAACAUCUGAUUUUGUCGAAACAUGUAUCUCUUCACUUCUGAUUGUUUAAUGUGUUAACACUAACAGCAAAUAAAAGUUUGUACUAAAUCACCAUAUACGACAAGAGGUAGUUGGAUUAACAUCAGAUGUGCAAUUACUUUUUUGGAAGUGACUUUUACAAAAGUGCUUGCUAUAAUACAAAUUGCAAGAUUAAAGAUAUGACAACCACACCGCAUAUAAAAUGCACGUGGAUAAACAUCAAUUUUUUUGUAUUCAUCUAUAUUUUUCUUUUAUAUUGGAUCCAUUAUCAUAUCCAUUUUCUUUCACAUAAUCAAUAUUUAAAUCAAAAGCAACCAACACAUUCUGAAUUUCACAAAAAAGCUAUUUUCCGGAUGUGUCAUCAAAUAUUAAGAAUGUGAGUACUGUACAUGUGCUUGAAACUCAGUUUAUGCAUCCUCUUGUAAAUUAAUCUUAAAAGUAUAUAUCUGCUUGGUACAAAUUUUAUCGUUUAUCUAUGAAAAAGGAGCGGGUUUGUUCAACAUGAUAACAAAGUGAUGAUCAAACAGAGCCAUACAUCAUAAGGUCAGUAGAAACUAGAAACUGUACUACGAAAUCAUGUGAAAUUUUAAAUUUGUACCGUAAACUCUUUGAGUCUCUAAGACCAACAUUAUUGCAGGUCCUUGUUGGUGUUCUUAGGGGAGGGGGGACCACAAUUUGGCAAAACCAAGAAGGGACAAGGGAGAGAAGUCGUUAAAUAGGGAACGUCCUUGCUGCGUCCUCUGCACUGUUUGCGGGCCCCACGACACGUGGUGGCCCGCGAUUAGUUGACUUUAAAAAAAAAAAAUCAGAAAACUAAAAAAGAAAAGAAAAAAGAUUUUAAGAACUUCUGUCCGGUAAUGAUGCUCUAAGAUACUUCAAAUUAAGAAUUCACAGUGAGCUUCCUUUAGUAGAUCUUUUUAAGUAGACCCAGUGACUAUCCAAUUUUUACAUUCACUGUUCAUGGACUAGCUGUACCUACUGUUCCCCUUUUAGAGCCAAUCCACUGUCAUCUUCAUUCUCUUCACUAGGGAUGUUGUCAUGGGCAAAAAAACCCGGCCCGGCCCGAACCCAAACUAAACCCGCCCAGAAAAUACCCUAAACUAUAAAACCCGAAAAAAACCCGGUACUAUUAGGGUAACUCGCGAAAAACCCUAGAACUUUAGGGUUACCCACGGGUACCCGAAAAAACUCUUUUUUGAGUUUUGUGGUUUUUUAGUUAAAGUUUUAUAGUUUUAACUUAAAUUUAUAUGUAUUGAAUAUUUAAUUUUAAUCAUGUUUUGUAUUAAAUUUGAUUAAUUUUCAAUUAUCAAAUUUAUUUUCUGUAUAAAGUAACAAAUAAAAUUUUCAUCAUUCAUAAUUUUCAAUUUGCAAAUUUAUACUAUAUCCAUAAUGUAAGUAAAUAAAUAAGUUAUAGAGAGUGCAAAAUUUAAUAGUGGGCAUUGUAUGUUUUGAUUUAUACAUCUAAUUUUUGAUUUCAAUCAUUUAAAUCCUUAAAAAUUAGGGUAAAAGUCGUCCUUUCAAUUAUAUAUAUAUAUAUUUAAAAACCCAUAGGGUACCCGAAACCCGAUAGGGUAAAACCCGAACGGGUAAUUUAUAAAUCAAGACCCGCCCAAAAUAAACCCGCGAAUUUUGAAAACUGAAUAUACGGGUUUUGGUUUUUAAAUUCCAACCGGGUUUAGGGUACCCUAUGGGUAAAAACCCAUUGUUAACAUCCCUACUCUUCACUCCUCUCCUCUAAGUAAGGCUUUGAAAUGCAUGAUAAGUAUAUAGAUAUCAUAUCACCUUAUUUCAUAAUUGAAAUGCAUGAUUCAAUCUAAAUGUUACCAUGAUCAACGUCGUAUUACUUUAUAAUUUUUUUUUUAUAAUUUUAGAUUAUAUGUUUUCAAAUUCGAACUUUUUUAUAAUUUUUUUUAUAAUUUUUUUUAUUUUUUUUUCAAAUUUUCUUUUUGUAAUUCGAAAAUACUUUUUGAAACUAUUUUUAAAAUUUUUAUUUUCAAAUUUUUAAUAUUUAUUUCUAUUUUAUAAAAUUUUAAACCUCAAACCCAAAUCCUCACCUCUUAAUUCUAAACCCUAAGGUUUGAAUUAGUUAACUUUAGGGAUAUAAAUGUAUAUUUACCUCUUUAAUGAAACAUUUUGGUCAUUUUGAUUUUUAGAGUCUAUAUUUGUGACAGAAACUUUUUAGUGCUAUCAUAAGAUAUUUUUUUUUUUUAAAUUUGACAAAAAAAAUGGAAGGUAUUCGUUAGACAUAUAAAAAAUAAAACGUGAAGAACUUCACCCACCUACAAUAGAGAGAGAAAGAGAGAGAGAAAGUAGAUCCGCUUUUGGUUCCGGCGGACGGCCGGCGCGUCAGCGCGCGUGCCGUCGCCGGAGACCGUAGUCCUUCCGUUUAAGUUGUCCCUUUUGCUUCUCCGUCGUCUCCUCUCUCAGAUCGUCUUGUCUGAGCCCUGGUCCAGGCCAUAUAUCGUCGUUCAUUUCCGGGAGGUAACGAUCUCAACGGUGGCUCUGUUUCUGGUGUUAAGGCGCGGUAGUGUGGAGAGGAUGGUGUGGUGAAGUUGUCCGGUAGUUUCAGUUUCGUUUCCGGGAGACAGAGGCUCAAUAAGCUCUGUCGCCGCCGGCUCUUGCUUCCGGGAGGAGGAGGCUUCCUCAGCUCCUCUUUCGCCGGCUUUGUUUCCGGGGUGCCAAGGCUUCUAUAGCUCGGCGUUUUCGGCUCUAGGUGUUUUAUGUCCGUCGUAGACUAGGGUUUGUGGUCCGAUUUUGGGUCGGGUUUGGUUCUGAGGUUAUGUGGUUCAUGGCUUUGAUCUUUUGGAGGAACUCUUGAAUAGAUCGAGAAGGCGAUCCAUGGAGAAGAUAAAGCGGGGACAAAAAAAGGUGGAUCGGUGGAGGCUCGCGAGUGAAUCGAGCUCCGGCGUUACUAGGGUGCGAUGGAUGGUGCCGGCGGCGCUUCAGUGAGCACUCGGUCAGGUUGAGGCGGAUGGGACGCGUGUCGUCCCCGAGGAGGAAGAUCUCAUCACGUGUUUGGGCCUCCUUGAUGCGGGUCUGCUUAAGUCGUCCGGGCCUCUAUCUGGUUGGGGCGUAGGCCCUUGUAGUUGGUAGUAGUUGGCCAUGUGUUGUUUGGGCCUUAUGUGUUAAAUCGUUUGGGCUUUUGCCUUUGUAAUUGCUGGGCUUGGACCCUUAAUUUCUAAUAAUAAAAUCUUGACGGAAAAAAAAAAAAUUCGUUAGACAUAUAUAAACACCACCGAGAAGUGCUAGUGAUACUGAUAACUGGUAC
rnacentral:lncRNA from 1 species